rnacentral:lncRNA from 1 species
UCUCCUUUUCUUUUCUUCUUUUCCUUUCCUUCCCUCUCUCUCCCCUACUUCUCUUCUUUCUCCUUUUUCACCCCCUCUUUCUCUUUUUCUUCUUCUUCUUUUUUUUUUUUUUUUAGGCAUGGACGCCGAAGAAGCACAGAUGCUUGCCAGGGGCCUGAAGGCUCACAAAAGAAAGGGCGUCGCGGCCUCCGGGCUGGCG